rnacentral:rRNA from 1 species
GUGGGGAAUAUUGGGCAAUGGGCGAAAGCCUGACCCAGCAACGCCGCGUGAAGGAAGAAGGUCUUCGGAUCGUAAACUUCUAUCCUUGGUGAAGAUAAUGACGGUAGCCGAGAAGGAAGCCCCGGCUAACUACGUGCCAGCAGCCGCGGUAAUACGUAGGGGGCAAGCGUUGUCCGGAAUGAUUGGGCGUAAAGGGCGCGUAGGCGGCCUGGUAAGUCUGGAGUGAAAGUCAUGCUUUUAAGGUGGGAAUUGCUUUGGAUACUGUCGGGCUUGAGUGUAGGAGAGGUAAGUGGAAUUCCCGGUGUAGCGGUGAAAUGCGUAGAGAUCGGGAGGAACACCAGUGGCGAAGGCGACUUACUGGACUGUAACUGACGCUGAGGCGCGAAAGUGUGGGGAGCAAACAGGAUUAGAUACCCGGGUAGUCC